rnacentral:tRNA from 1 species
GCCUGGGUGGCUCAGUCAGUUGGGCAUCUGACUUCGGCUCAGGUCAUGAUCUCGCAGUUCGUGAGUUCGAGCCCCGCAUCGGGCU